AGCAGCCGCGGUAAUUCCAGCUCCAAUAGCGUAUAUUAAAGUUGUUGCAGUUAAAAAGCUCGUAGUUGAAUUUCGGGGUCAGCAGGUUGGUCGUGCCAAUGGUAUGCACUGGCCUUGCUGAUUCCUCCCUCUUGAUGAGCCGUAAUGCCAUUAAUUUGGUGUUGCGGGGAAUCAGGACUGUUACUUUGAAAAAUUAGAGUGUUUAAAGCAGGCAAGCGCUUGAAUACAUUAGCAUGGAAUAAUGAAAUAGGACGUUUGAUCCUAUUUUGUUGGUUUCUAGGAUUGACGUAAUGAUUAAUAGGGAUAGUUGGGGGCAUUAGUAUUCAAUUGUCAGAGGUGAAAUUCUUGGAUUUAUUGAAGACUGACUACUGCGAAAGCAUUUGCCAAGGAUGUUUUCAUUAAUCAAGAACGAAAGUUAGGGGAUCGAAGACGAUCAGAUACCGUCGUAGUCUUAACCAUAAACUAUGCCGACUAGGGAUCGGAUGAUGUUAAUUUUAAUGUACU
rnacentral:rRNA from 1 species